UACGAAGGGGGCUAGCGUUGCUCGGAAUCACUGGGCGUAAAGGGUGCGUAGGCGGGGCUUUAAGUCAGGGGUGAAAUCCUGGAGCUCAACUCCAGAACUGCCUUUGAUACUGAGGAUCUCGAGUCCGGGAGAGGUGAGUGGAACUCCGAGUGUAGAGGUGAAAUUCGUAGAUAUUCGGAAGAACACCAGUGGCGAAGGCGGCUCACUGGCCCGGUACUGACGCUGAGGUGCGAAAGCGUGGGGAGCAAACAGG
rnacentral:rRNA from 1 species